ensembl:antisense Gm26646 predicted gene, 26646
UUUUUUUUUUUUUUUAAGCCAUGUAUGGUGGCUCACUCCUGCAAGGUUAACUAAGACAGGACGGUCACUAAGUAGGAGGACAGCCUGGUUUAUAUGGUAAAUUGCAGGCCAGCCUGAACCACAGGGUCAGUCCCCAUCUCAACAAAAUGAAACAAAAGGAGGUGGGGUAGAGAGGAGAGGAGAAAGGAGACUCACUGCACUAGACCAUGUGUAUAAGCCUAGCACUUAGCCGGAAGAAGGUGAGACCCUGGAUAAGGGGGGAAGUCAGGAGUGGUAGUGCUUUAAUAAUAAUACUUGAAGAGGCAGGGGGAUGGAUCUCUAUGAGUUCAAUGCCAGCCUGGUCUACACAGUAAGUUCCAGUUCAGCCAGGGAUAUGGAGUAAGAACCUGUCUCAAAACAAACAGACAGACAGGAUAAGGAAGAAACCUAGCAGAAACGAAGUAGUUAAAAAUUCUAGAUCAGAACCUGGUAAUGGUGGUGCAUGCCUUUAAUCCCAGUGCUUGGGGGACAGAGGCAGGUGGGGCUGAAGCCUGAAAGUCUUCUGAUUUUAUUCCCUCUCAGACAGAACCAGUCUCUCAGGAGGAUAUUUUGAAACCUAACCACGAAUAAAAUAUUGGGGUACAGAAGGCAAAGAACGGCAUCUGCGUUUCCCCAAAGGAAAUGUUUCCAGAAAAUUCAAAUGUGCACGAACAUUGCUGAGGCAUUCCAUGAUGGCAUUUGUUUAUUUGUUUAAUUAUAUGAUUUCUUAAGAUGCGGUCUGGUGUAGCUCAAGCUGGCUUAGAACUAGCUGUGUAUCUGAGGAUAACUUUGAAGUCCUGAUCCUCUCGCCUCCAUCUCCCGAGUUCUGAGCUUUGAGGUGUGCACCACUACAACUGGCAUCUUGUAAAAAUAGCUCAUUUCCCCCUAAUUUUAAAAGAGACUUUCUGCAACCUUACAGGAUAAAAAGUAUCCCAACCCUGAUAAGUGCCAGCCAAUGCUGAAGCAAGUGAUUCCACGAAAGAACUUCUCUCCAUGCCCUUGAGAAAAAAUAAACGUAAAAGAACCCAACGACCAGAUCAUCACAAAACUACGCUCAUCAAUUUAAAAAACAAAACAAAUACAGAAACAAAAAACUAAAGACAGAGGCUGUCACCCAAUAUCUCAAUGCGGCACACUGUGUACUGAGUCUGUCCCUAAGACCCAAGGGAAAGUGUCACAAAACACAGAAAAGCCAAGAUCCAGGAAGGAUGAGGGAGGAGCAGGGGGGUGGGUCAUGCACGGUGCCAGAGCAGGAGAUGCUGCUGAGCGCGGCUGCGGGCCGUGGGGAAGGGAUGGCUCUGGUGCUCCGCAGGGGCAUGGUUGGUGGGGCUGCACUCACAAAACGCUGGUAGAAGCGGACCAGCCGCGGUUUUCCAUGGUUGUUGAAAACCAGAAUCGCCUGAAUCAUCUUUGCCGGUCCCGCUUCUCUCGGUACCAGCUGCUCCAAGAACGCACCUUCUUCCGGCACAACA